GCCAGGUGUGGUGGCGCAUGCCUGUAGUCCCAGCUACUCAGGAGGCUGAGGCAGGAGGAUCGCUUGAGGCCAGGAGUUCUGGGCUGCAGUGCACUAUGUUGCCUGGGCGUCUGCACUAAGUUCAGCAUCAAUAUGAUGACCUCCCGGGAGCAGGGAACCACCAGAUUGCCUAAGAAGGGGUAAACUGGCCAAGGUUGGAAACAGAGCAGGUCAAAACUCCCAUGCUGAUCAGUAGUGGGAUGGUGCCUGUGAAUAGCCACUGUACUCCAGCCUGGGCAACACAGCAAGACCCCAUCCCUA
rnacentral:SRP_RNA from 1 species